UCCUUUAGAAAAUACUUAAAGGUAAUACCUGCUCGAUGUCAAGCUUAUAAAUAGCUGCGGUAUCUUAACUGCACUCAGGUAGCAUAAUUAAUUGUCUUUUAAAUGGUGACUUGUUUGAAUGGUUUUAUGAGAAAAAGAUCUUCUUAAGAUUAAUUAGAAUUUAUAGUUUAAGGUAAAAAUACCUAAAUUGAUAAGUAAGACGAGAAGACCCUGUUGAGUUUUAUAGUAGUGUCUUCUUUUACUAUUUAAAUGGGAAAUUUAAUUUCUAUUUGAAAUUUCUUUGAUCCUGAUUAUUUUCUUUUUGGAAAAAGGAUAAAAUUACCACAGGGAUAACAGGACUAUAUCUGCUGAGAGGCCCUAUUGAAGCAGAUGUUUGUUACCUCGAUGUUGAAUCGAAAUACUCUUCUUGGUGCAGCAGUCAAGUAAGUGGGUCUGUUCGACCUUUAAAAUUUCACGUGAUUUG
rnacentral:rRNA from 1 species